CCAAUUAAAAACUACUGUGUUUCUCUUAAGGACAUGCAAGCGGGCAGUUCAUCGGGGGACUAGGACCAUGAAGUCAAUCCGUGAUAGGUCUCUUUUUCACAGGUCCCACCUUUCUCUUUUUCAAUGGAUGCACUUCAUAUAUAGAUUUGCGCAUGGUUUCCGACUUCGACAAGUUGAUAUGAUGCAGGAUGAAAUAGCAGCAAGCACCACAACCUUGUCAAGUAUGUCUCAAAAGCUGCGCCAAGUCUACAGAGAAGCUGUGGAAAAGAUGAGAAUAAAAAAGGGCAGCUCCUUGGUGGACGACGGGAAUUUGUCAUUACUGACGAGAGUCAGUUCCGCCAUAAGAGAAAGUAUGGGAGAGGAAGAAUGGGCGGCACCUGGAGAAGGAGGAAAUGGGUGUUUGGCAUGUUGGGUGUGAAGCAGGAGGAACAGAAGGGAAAAAGGGUUAAGCCAGUGCUGCGACUGGUGGAGAGAAGGGGUCGUCAGAACCUUGUGCCCCUGAUUACACACCAUUUAAAGACUGGCUCCUCUAUUAUAAGUGAUGAAUGGCGGGCAUAUCGUACACUAGCGGUGUUUGGUUACAGCCAUGUGGCAGUUAAUCACUCCAGGUGGUAUGUGGAUCCAAGAACGGGUACCCACACCCAACAUAUUGAACGUGCCUGGAGGUGCAUCAAGGAACAGGUUUGGAGGCAGAGGGGGAAUCGAACACCUACUGUCUGACCAUCUUUGAGCAGAUGGAAUGGCUGGGCAGGAGAAACUAAGGUGGCCCUCUUGGAAGGCUCCUGCAUGAUUUAGUGAAGACCUACCGAGUGCGUUAGGAUGUAGUGUGUAGUUUUGUGUUUUUGUUUUUUUACUAGUUCUGGUAAUUCAAGUUAGAUUAACUAGUUCAGUGAAGUGUAUUUGGUUGAUUGCUUGUCCUCUGGAUUUAGCAUUCUUGAGAACAGCUCAUCUGAACAACUUCACACGUCCCACUAAUUGCAGAGGGCUAUCAAAACAGUAAGAUUAAAACUGAUUUUAGCUGAUGGCUUGUUAGAUCCUCCUCCAUCAGCUUCUAUACUUUGGCCUGGUUCAGCUGAUCAGUAAUGUUCACUUUCAGCUUUUAUAUAUGAUAUGGUAUGAUAUGAUAUUCUGUUACGACUGGUGAACAUAGGAACUGUGUCAUUAGUUAAAGAUGAUCAAGCAGCAACUUUUUUGUAAUCAAAAUUAAAAUCCUGAGUCAAACUAA